AAUACUAAAUAUUGAAUGUUGUUGUGUAGCAAGCAGGACCGACAGCGCACAAUGUGCUUGGAAAUAGCAGCCAAUAGAUGUUAGGAGUUGGUGGGGUUUCUCUGGUGUGGUGUCACGGGGUCUGCUUCUGUUUUCAGCACAGGUAGGCGGGGUGGUGUGUCACGGGAUGCUGACACACCGGCGGUGCACCAGACGUCAUUUGAUGAAGCGUUACUGGUGUCGGAGUAUUGCCACCUCCUCGAGUGCCGGAUCCAUCACCCGCUUACCUGUCAGCUGUUUUUGAAGCCACAUUUCCGGGAUCACUACGGAGAUCAAUCACAGCGUUUCUCCCACAUCCCGAGAAUCCUCGCCCGAGCCUGUACAGCCAGUGUGACAAAUCCACCCUGCGUGCGCGGGUAACCCCUUUCCCUCCGAAUGCGUGUCAGCCUCCUCCCCUGGUUUCCCUCUGUUUAUUCAUCAGUAUUAUCUCAUCCCGUGUAAAUAAGUUUGACACAGUAAAUAAAGAGCACUCCCUGCAUUUUCUGC